CCCCGUGUGGAGAACCUGAAGGCACGACAUUGCUCACAUUGCUUCCAGUAUUACUUUAGCCAGCCUCUGCUGGCUUUUUUUU
rnacentral:antisense_RNA from 1 species